rnacentral:rRNA from 1 species
GAUUGCAGGCUGCAACCCGCCCUGCAUGAAGUCGGAAUUGCUAGUAAUCGCGGAUCAGCAUGCCGCGGUGAAUACGUUCCCGGGCCUUGUACACACCGCCCGUCACACCAUGGGAGCCGGUAAUACCCGAAGUCAGUAGUCCAACCUCGUGAGGACGCUGCCGAAGGUAGGAUUGGCGACUGGGGUGAAGUCGUAACAAGGUAUC